AGAAUAGUAGUUUAAUAAAAAUUUUUAAUUUGCAUUUAAAAGAUAUUUUUUAUAAAUUUAUUUUA
rnacentral:tRNA from 1 species